rnacentral:tRNA from 1 species
GCCGAUGUAGCUCAGUUGGUAGAGCAACUGAUUCGUAAUCAGUAGGUCGUGCGUUCAAGUCGCAUCAUCGGCA